AUUGAACGCUGGCGGCGUGCUUAACACAUGCAAGUCGAGCGGUAACAGGUGUAGCUAUACGUGCUGACGAGCGGCGAACGGGUGAGUAAUGCUUCGGAAUCUUCCUUGUGGUGGGGAAUAACCUGGGGAAACUCAGGCUAAUGCCGCAUACGAACCAUGGUUGAAAGCGGGGGAUCGCAAGACCUCGCGCUAUAAGAUGAGCCGAAGUCGGAUUAGCUAGUUGGUGGGGUAAAGGCCUACCAAGGCGACGAUCCGUAGCUGGUCUGAGAGGACGACCAGCCACACUGGGACUGAGACACGGCCCAGACUCCUACGGGAGGCAGCAGUGGGGAAUAUUGGACAAUGGGGGCAACCCUGAUCCAGCGACGCCGCGUGUGUGAAGAAGGCCUGCGGGUUGUAAAGCACUUUUAGUGGGGACAAAAAGCCGAGGGCUAAUACCUUUCGGUCUUGAUUUAACCCAAAGAAAAAGCACCGGCUAACUCUGUGCCAGCAGCCGCCGUAA
rnacentral:rRNA from 1 species